CUCUACCCAGUAGGUUCCAGUCUCCAGACAUCACCACUCUCCUGGGGGACAAAAAUCACUCCUCACUGAGAGCUACUUACUGUAUUUUAUAAUAAGGAGAAGAAUCCAAAAACCCCAAGACUGUUUUUGCCUUUAGAAGAUAUGUCCUUUUUGAUGUUUCUAGACCUAUUCUUCGGAGAAGGUAUUUAAUAUAAAGCAACAGUUAAAAAAAUUGUAUAAACAUUCAGCAUCUGUCAAAAUGUUUACACUUUUGGCUUGUGAAGGUAAUACACCUUAUUCUGUAUUCUUUCAUAAAUAAAUGUACUUCAUACUGUCGUGUGCCUGAUUUGGCUCCAGGCAAUAGACAAGAAUGAUAUGGGAAAUUUGGUGAAAAUUUACUCUCAAGAAAUUUAAAAGUAGGAGAUAGAGUUAAGUAGAGUUAAAACCUUGCAUGACAUGGUGUAUAAUUUGUUAAACUUUACCAUUUUAUUCUUUUAAAGAACUGAGCUUGCACUUCUUACACCCUCUGCCAGUACUAAGGGAAGCCAUGUUCGGGUAGGAAUCAUCUAGGAAGAUGUUAGAACUUAAGCACACUUUUUCAGGAAGGCUGGGCAUGUUCUAGACCUUUCCCAGUUUACCAGACCUGGAAGUGAAGUUCUGAAACUGAUAGACAUGCAUCCAGACAUUUUUAAUAUAACCCUAAUGCCCAGGGAAAGGUCUCCCAGGAUCCAGCUUAUAAUACAGAACAGCAUAAUUGAAGUUUACCAGAAAGUGUAGGGAAUGGCUUUCAGAUUUAGCUGAUGGUGAAUUGGCUAAACCCCAUUUUUGUUUCAUCCUCAUUUCACAGAUGCAAAGAUGGUGGGGGAAAAAACAUGCAUCUUAAAUAUAAGUCGUAUGAUGGUUUUUGUUUCUUUUUUCCUCUCCCUUCUGGCCUGAGUAAAAUUUUGAACUUGUUUUGUCAUUUAUCUCUUUCAGACUAAAUUUAAGUUAAUCAUGGGAAAAAAUUAGUUAGGCAGGGUUCAGGGUGUGCUGAGAAGGGCAUGGCAACCCACUUUGUAUUCUUGCCUGGAAACAGAGGAGCCUGGAGGGCUACAGUCCAUGGGGGUCACAAAGAGUCGGACAUGACUGAGUGACUAAGCACAGCACAGGGUGUGCUGGGUUCUUU
ensembl:lncRNA